rnacentral:snRNA from 1 species
ACAUUGAAUAGCAGUACAUAUACUAAAAUUGGAACGCUACAGAGAAGAUUAGCAUGGCCCCUGCGCAAGGAGGACACGCUAAUUCGUGAAGCGUUCCAUAUUUUU